AGUGAACGCUGGCGGCAGGCCUAACACAUGCAAGUCGAACGGCAGCACAGAGGAGCUUGCUCCUUGGGUGGCGAGUGGCGGACGGGUGAGGAAUACAUCGGAAUCUGCCUAGUCGUGGGGGAUAAGCGUAGGGAAACUUACGCUAAUACCGCAUACGACCUACGGGUGAAAGCGGGGAUCGCAAGACCUCGCGCGAUUAGAUGAGCCGAUGUCCGAUUAGCUAGUUGGCGGGGUAAUGGCCCACCAAGGCGACGAUCGGUAGCUGGUCUGAGAGGAUGAUCAGCCACACUGGAACUGAGACACGGUCCAGACUCCUACGGGAGGCAGCAGUGGGGAAUAUUGGACAAUGGGCGCAAGCCUGAUCCAGCCAUGCCGCGUGGGUGAAGAAGGCC
rnacentral:rRNA from 1 species